AAUUUAAUAAGGUCUCUCAAAAUAUCAACAGAUGUAAAUAAUAUUGCAAUAACAAUACAAAGUAUCAAAGUCACAUAAAAUAUUACAUUGUAAAAUAAUGUAAAAGCUCUUGUCAAAAAUGUAAAAUGAAUAUUAAGUUUCGGCUUCUAAACAAAUGGAAUUUUACCGUAAAUACCCUAAACUAUUAAACUCAAACCCCCAAAAUAUAAAAGAUACUUUACUAAAUUCUUACUAGAACACGUUAUGGACUAAAACCGGACCAAAUAAAGCAACAAAGAAUCACCCUGAGAAAUAAAGCAUAUCGGUUUUAUUCAAACCAAGUUGCAGUGUCUUAUUCAGACAUCGGGGUAUAAUACACCCGUAAGCCCUUAAUAAUAAAGAUAAACAACGGCGGUUUUAUUCAAACCAAAUGUCGAUUAUGUCUUAUACAGACCUUGGCUUUAUACGAUCAAGCGGCCGAAUUAAUAAAAUAUCUAUUUUAUAUACUAAUUACAGGUAAAGAAAUAACAACUUUAACCAACCGCGUACUUCGAUACAAACUUGUAUAUAAAGGUGCACUCGAAAAUAUUUUAUUCUAAACAACUAUUGAUUACUACCGAGAAGAAAAGAAAAGCUUUUAAUCAUUUAUCUUAUGUAAAACACCGAGAAUCCUUACUGAUUAACCAAUAGAAAUCAACUACACUUUUUAGUUUACCCUGGAUACGAACAUGUAAGCAAAAUAAUAACAAUGAAUUGUAAAUUGAAAUAAGCCAUCCUACAUAUAAUUUUAAAAAUAUAAAAACCGAUUCCGCUACAU
rnacentral:lncRNA from 1 species